rnacentral:rRNA from 1 species
GAUGAACGCUGGCGGCGUGCCUAAUACAUGCAAGUCGAGCGAACGGACGAGAAGCUUGCUUCUCUGAUGUUAGCGGCGGACGGGUGGGUAACACGUGGAUAACCUACCUAUAAGACUGGGAUAACUUCGGGAAACCGGAGCUAAUACCGGAUAAUAUUUUGAACCGCAUGGUUCAAAAGUGAAAGACGGUCUUGCUGUCACUUAUAGAUGGAUCCGCGCUGCAUUAGCUAGUUGGUAAGGUAACGGCUUACCAAGGCAACGAUGCAUAGCCGACCUGAGAGGGUGAUCGGCCACACUGGAACUGAGACACGGUCCAGACUCCUACGGGAGGCAGCAGUAGGGAAUCUUCCGCAAUGGGCGAAAGCCUGACGGAGCAACGCCGCGUGAGUGAUGAAGGUCUUCGGAUCGUAAAACUCUGUUAUUAGGGAAGAACAUAUGUGUAAGUAACUGUGCACAUCUUGACGGUACCUAAUCAGAAAGCCACGGCUAACUACGUGCCAGCAGCCGCGGUAAUACGUAGGUGGCAAGCGUUAUCCGGAAUUAUUGGGCGUAAAGCGCGCGUAGGCGGUUUUUUAAGUCUGAUGUGAAAGCCCACGGCUCAACCGUGGAGGGUCAUUGGAAACUGGAAAACUUGAGUGCAGAAGAGGAAAGUGGAAUUCCAUGUGUAGCGGUGAAAUGCGUAGAGAUAUGGAAGAACACCAGUGGCGAAGGCGACUUUCUGGUCUGUAACUGACGCUGAUGUGCGAAAGCGUGGGGAUCAAACAGGAUUAGAUACCCUGGUAGUCCACGCCGUAAACGAUGAGUGCUAAGUGUUAGGGGGUUUCCGCCCCUUAGUGCUGCAGCUAACGCAUUAAGCACUCCGCCUGGGGAGUACGACCGCAAGGUUGAAACUCAAAGGAAUUGACGGGGACCCGCACAAGCGGUGGAGCAUGUGGUUUAAUUCGAAGCAACGCGAAGAACCUUACCAAAUCUUGACAUCCUUUGACAACUCUAGAGAUAGAGCUUUCCCCUUCGGGGGACAAAGUGACAGGUGGUGCAUGGUUGUCGUCAGCUCGUGUCGUGAGAUGUUGGGUUAAGUCCCGCAACGAGCGCAACCCUUAAGCUUAGCUGCCAUCAUUAAGUUGGGCACUCUAAGUUGACUGCCGGUGACAAACCGGAGGAAGGUGGGGAUGACGUCAAAUCAUCAUGCCCCUUAUGAUUUGGGCUACACACGUGCUACAAUGGACAAUACAAAGGGCAGCGAAACCGCGAGGUCAAGCAAAUCCCAUAAAGUUGUUCUCAGUUCGGAUUGUAGUCUGCAACUCGACUACAUGAAGCUGGAAUCGCUAGUAAUCGUAGAUCAGCAUGCUACGGUGAAUACGUUCCCGGGUCU